rnacentral:ncRNA from 2 species
UUUAUCCUUCGGGGCAGGGUGAAAUUCCCUACCGACGGUGAUGGAGUAUUGUUAGACUUUCUUACAAUACAACUUAGUCCGUGACCCGUACGCGUGUAACUUAGGCGUACGGUUGACCUGGUGUAAUUCUGGGACCGACAGUAUAGUCUGGAUGGGAGAAGGAUAAA